AAAAUGCGAUACGCAAUGCGAAUUGCAGAAUUCCGCGAAUCAUCAGAUUCUUGAACGCAACUGGCGCUGGAAGGCUAUCCUUUCAGCAUGUCUGUUUCAGUGUCUUAUAACAUCACAUGAAUAUAAUGUGUUUGAGAAGGAGUAUCAUAUAUUAUUUUACUUCGACUCUUACAUGAAAGAUGCUUGUGUGGAUCUUUGGGUCCUCUUGAAUCGGUCACCUGACUUUGGUGAUUUCAUCAGGCAAUCCAAUUAUCUGAAUACACAUUAGAACUAUUUAUUAGCUUCAAUUCUGUAUCUGAAAUUAGACAAGAUCACCCGCUGAACUUAA
rnacentral:misc_RNA from 1 species